rnacentral:lncRNA from 1 species
UCGGUUGAAGGAAGGGAGGAUGAUUUAUGAUCAAUUGUGGGGAAAAUAACAGAUGCUACUGGUGCAUUCACAUGUCUCGAUGUACUCUAAUUAGUUUUGUCUCCAAUCACCAUUGAUGAAGCUUUUUCAGCUGAUUAAAUUGCAAACCCUAGCUUAGAGGUGUUAUUACUUUCAGACACUUCAGAUGCUUGACUGAAUUGCAGUAACACACAUACACACAUUUGAUCAAGGAAUUAGAUUGAGAUCUUCAUCACGAGCAGCUCUUAGCUGAAAGCUUGUCGUGGAGAGGAAGCUAAGAAGGAACUCAUAGAAAACAGAGUAACUGUUUAAUUGAAGAAGAGAAGAAAAUGAAUUGGUCUUACAAAGUAGUAUCUACAGUGUAUUUAUACUACUAAUUAGCUACUAAAUUCCUAACAACCUUUCUAACUAAUCCAACUAAUAAGAUUAGCUAACUAUAUUCUUAAACAUCUAAGCUAACUAUAUCGACAAGAGGGGCUUGCUCUGAUGGUAAGUAACCCCCACUUCCAACCGAGAGGUUGUGAGUUCGAGUCUCCACAAGAGCAAAGGUGGGAAGUUCUUGGAGGGAAGGAUGUCGGGGGUCUAUUUGGAAACAGCCUCUCCACCUCAUGGUAGGGGUAAGGUCUGCGUACAUACUACCCUCCCCAUACCCCAAUAAGUGAGAUUAUACUGGGUUGUACGAUUGUACGAUUUCUGUCGGGGGUCUAUUUGGAAACAUGCUCUCUACCCCAGGGUAGGGGUAUAAAUACUACCCUCCCCAAACCCCACUAAGUGGGAUUAUACUGGGUUGUACUUUUUAUCUAAGCUAACUAUAGUUUAAUAGAUCCACUUCUCUUAACAAUUGCAAAGAGUCUGAAACAAUGACUUCUCUGUGAAGAAUACUUUCACUAAGUUAAAUCCCAAACGGGCAGUAAAUGAAAAAAGUGGAAGUUCUGUUCUUCUGUGGAUGAUAGGCUCAUCGUUGUAGAUCCUCUAAUUAAAUAUACUAUACUAGCUUCUCCAAACAAAUUGGAAGUUAAUGACGUGUGCCUAUCACUGUACUACAUUUUAUGAUUUCACUAGUAUAACAGAGAAACCAUACAUAGCACUAGUUUCAGUUCUAAUUUCCUUUUCCAUAUCGAUGACUGGGGGUUUAAUAUUAGGAUUGUAGGAUAGGGGCUCCUAGAAUUUUAUACUUUUUUCUCGAGGUUGGGUGGGGCUUGACAGGACUUUCCAUAGAUGAUUUGUACAUCGGAUUGUGUCCCCCUUAUGGUAAUUAUUUAUGGUAGUUAAUGUUUGAUAUUAUUGCAUGCCAUAUUAUUAUGGCUCUUAUGCUUAGAUAAUUAUUUACGCUUCCUUCCCUGAGCCGAGGGUCGAUUGGAAACAGUCUAUCUUCCCUUUCGGGCAGGGGUAAGGCCUGUCUACAUAUUACCCUCCCAUACCCUACCUUGUGGGACUAUACUGAGUAGUUCUUGUUGUUGUUAUUUCCAUAUUGAUGACUAUAUCGCGUAAGGUUGUUGGUCAACUAAUUAUUUCAAUUUUAAAGACUUAACAUAUUGUCACCAGAUAAGCUUGAGGAAUAUAAUAGAGGUAAAUUCCAGCACUUCAAGGUAUAAUACAACUUAAAUCAACGGAACUUCACGGUAUCAUCCAAAUGAUCUCAUGACAUACCAAGACAAAUAUACGAUUAUGCAAUGUAAGCUUUCUAACAUUAUCUUUAUUAGCAUUGUUAUUGAAAAAAAAAAUAGUUUCCUAAAAUAUUUCGAGAUCGCAUAAAAAUAAACAUUUCCUUUUGAUUAAUCUAGUCAUUGUAAAUGAAACAUUUCAUUGACAUAUCAUAUACAAGCAAGCUAAUAAGUAAUAACCAUUGAUGAUUGUGCAAAAGAAUGGCAAAGUGGCAAUUAAGAAUGCAGUUAUCGAAAAUAUGUGACAAGUCCCAUUCGGUAUUACUUAUUAGCAUAGAUAGGCAUUAGUUUUCUUUGCACUUCCUUUAUAGUUAUUUUUUAUUUGUUUUGAUGAAUACACUUUUUCUCUAUAUGUUUUUAUUAAAUCAAAAUUUGAAGCAACAAAGAGAAAUAAACACAAGUCAUUAAAAAACCUCCUUCAAGGAAGGUGAGAAGAUGCUAAUAUUCAAUAAUUGCCUUGAGACUUCAUAAAAUUGUAAAAAGUCAAAAAUGUUUGAUCAAAGUAGUCUACACCGACACAUGUAGUUUCAUGGCAACAAGCACAAUAUAUCCGAAGUCAAUAUUUGAUCAAACAUUUGUCUAUACAUAAUGAAAAUCAGAAAAUGUGAUGAUAAUUUAAUGAGAUUUCUUAUAGUGUAUAAGCGCGAAAAUUUGACAUUUCUCUGUCAUCAAGGGAAAAGAAUCUCCCCUCUAUUUAAGGAGAAAAAGAUUGAGAAUGAAACAAAUAUAAAUCCAAAUACGUGUUGAUAAGAAAUUGGAAUGGCAAGACAUAACUUUUUUUUUAAUUCGACAUGUGCGAAUCUACUUUCUUCUUUUAUAAACAAAAAAACAAUUCGACAAACACCUAUAUUUUUACGAAAUCAACAGUUGAGUUUAAUUUGAAAAAAUCUAAAUAAACGCCACUCUAGAGUUUUUAAUCAAUAGAUCAAUCUUUAGACCGAUGAGACAAAGUCCAUUUUAAGAGGAGUUUGGCUAAUCUUAUAAACUGAUCAAAUGGACUCACACACAUUUUUUGGUUUUAACUACGAACUUGGUUAAUGUUUAAAGUGCUUAUAAGCUAAAAUCAGUCAUAAAUCAUAAAGUGGUCACCCCCAACUGAUGACUUUUCAGCUUAUAAGCACUUUUAGUUUGAUCAAGACUUCUACUAGUUUAUCCUUAAUAAUAUUUCGUAAUUCACAAAAUACUUUUUCCAAAAUAAGUUUUCUAACUUUCCCUUCAUUCUAUAUUCAUUUUUACCACUUUCGUUACAAAAAAGCUUUUUAAUUUAUAAUCUUUUGUAAAGUUUUAAACGGUAUUCUACUCUUUUUAAUAAAAGAACAACUUAUCAAUAUUUUUAACCAAACACAUCAACGACGUAUUAUCAAUUUCAACAUUUCUAUUCAAACACGUAAAUACUUAUUUAAAAACUCAAUUUCAACUCUUAAAAAUAUUUUUUAACACUUCAAGUUUAUCAACCAUUUACAAUCAGGUAAUCCAAACGAGCUCUAAGUCUACUUUUCUUGCAAGAAACAGCGAUGACUAAAUAUGUAUAGACAAUCGUAGCUUAAUUUUUUUAUUUUGUCAAAAAGGCUUUUGAAAGGUGUUAUUGAUUUAGAAUAGAAAAAAAAAAAACAAAAAAAAGGAAUAGACCAAACUUGAAAUAGAAUGCCCAAAGUAAAAGUUUUGAUGCAAAUAGAAAAAAAGUUGAGACAACGACUUUCCCUGUAGACAACGACUGCUUUGUCCCCACACUUACUUGAAUGCUUCAUGAAAUGAUAGUUAGGUCCACUAAUUUACCAAUCAGACAAUACAUACAAACCACGAGAUCACUCUCUACCACUGCGCCAUUUAUGAUACGACAAAAAUAAAUGUCGUUAUAGUGCCAUCUAUCUAUUUCACACUAAAAUGGAAGAUUCUUCCUCCUCUUUCCAUUUUCAAAAGUUUAUAGAAAGUAGUAGACAGUAAAAUUUGGAAGUGUAGCUCCUCACAUGCGACUUAUAAAUAAGUUCAAAAUAUACCUAACAUAUGACGGAUCCCACAUAAGAUUCUUUAUCAACCAGGAAAAAAUAAUAUUUUUUUUUCUCAUGUAAUUUCAAGACAUAUUGGUUGUUAAAUUCUUGAAUAUAAUAAGCAUCCACAUAUAACUAACAUGACAAUAUUUUAAGUUAUAUUGGUAUAAGAUUGACUUAAAUGGAGCGACAUGGACAAUAAAACUAUAUAACUAAUCUCAACUUGUUUAGUGUUUUACUAAUACAUAAUAAUAAUUGUUACUCCUAUAACAAACAUGUAAAUGUCUUACAUUAAUUAAGAAUCAUCUGGCUUGCAGAAGUCAAGAAAGUUACACUAAUGAGGUGUCCGGCGAGUCUAAUUUUAUUGAAAUUCUUAAUCUAUAUGUUAGCAUUCACUUGUGGAAAAAGAAUAGUACUCCUCAUUUUGUGCAAAGUUCUGCAGAGUUCACCACGCAAUGGUUUUUUUUCUCAAGUACUUAUAUUUGUAAAUCUUCAAAAUAAUACUAAAUCAAUAUUUUAGCAUUCACUUGUGGAAAAGAAUAGUACUCCACAUUUUGUGCAAACAUCUGCAGAGUUCAACACGCAAUGGUUAUUUUUCUUAAGUACUUAUAUUUGUAAAUCUUCAAAAUAAUACUAAAUCAAUAUUUUAAUGUGUGUGUAUGUAUAUACAAUCAUAUCUCACUAUGAUAGUAUCCCUAUAUUACAAUUAUUCGCUAUAAAUAAAAGCCAAAAUUUUCUCAGAACUAAUUUUUAUGUUAUAUUAUAAUAUAUGUCCUCUAUAACAACACUUCACUAUAACAGUUAAAAAAUACCGAAACAAACGAGUAGUAGAAGUAGAAAGUAGUAGUAGUAGGUAUGAUGGUUUUCAGCAUUGAUUGAUUAAAAGUCUUGGAUUUGCCUCAAUUAUAGGAAGGGAGAAUCACCAUGUAACACCCUAAAAACAAAUAAUAAGAAGGAGAGAAGAGGAAAUCUCACUAUCUUGUUCAGCAAAGUCAAUGCUAAACUCUCUGAUUCUCGUGCAGCAGGCUAAUGUCCGUCUCAUGAUCACCAUACUUCAUUAAUAUUGCCCAAAAUGUGCCUCAAAUAUUAGGAGAGCUAGUAGGCAAUUUGGACCUCAUGCAUUAUUGAGCCUGCAAUAUAAGAUGCAGUUGAAAUAGACUAAACAUGGAAAAUACAAGUUAAUGCUACUACAUCUAAAUUAUUUCAAAAGUUGAGGAAAAAAAUUUACUAUCUUCCAAACGAAAGAAAUCAGUAGAAAAAAGACUUGGAAAUCCUUAUUUGGAAAUUCCCAUUUGCAUUAUUCUGGUGCUUGGUGUAAAUUGCAACUUCUGGUAUAAAACUAGACAUUUAUUUUGUUCACAUUCAGUAUUUAGAUCAAACCAAUAAAUGCUAGAAGUAUAUAUACUUUUAUUUUUAACCAUAAUUAAGUAAUACUCCAAUUUGUAACUCUUAGGGGUCAUUUGGUACUUGGGAUAAGUAUACUAAUUUCGGGAUGAAAUGUGAAAUUAUAUUUGGUUAUGAGUAUUAGCUAGUAAUGAGAUAAAUUUAUCUUAAAUGGUGAAAUUAGUUAUCCAUAUUGAAGGUGAGAUACCUCAUCCCAUGAAAUAUGUUUUAUCUGUUCCACCUGGUAACCAAACGAACCCUUAAGAUUCAGCUGUUUAAUUUGAGAUAAACACCUGGCCAUGUUAAUCUCAAAGCAGACGAAUUCAAUAUGAGAAUUUGCUCCAUUUCCAAAUAUAGAAAUUUGAUGCAGCUACCCGCGGGUUCGAACCCGGCAACGGCGUUAUCUUUUAUGGUUAAAUUUUUUCUGGACAGCUAAAUGUGUUUGUUUUAGCUGUGGUUUAAUUUGUAAAUAUGUACCUUGGUGAUUAAUAAAAUUACUUUAGUUACCAAAAAAGAUUGAUGCCAGAAUUUAGACACAAAAACAAAUUAAAAAAGGGAAAAAGGGUUAGAACUGCUCCUAACGUAUUGACUCCAGGUUAAAAAUGCCCUCCGUUAAUCUAUUUUGAAGAAAAUGCCCCUACCGUUAAAAAUGCGGCAUAUUUGUGCUCUUAAGUCUAACAACUAACAAUACUUAUAUUUAAAACGGUAGGGGCAUUUUUUUUAAAAUAGGUUAACGGUAGGAGCAUUUUUAAAUACGUUAGGGGCACAAAUAUGCCAGAAUUUUAACGGUAGGGGCAUUUUUUUCAAAAUAGGUUAACGGAUAACAUUUUUAAACUGGCGUUAAUACGUUUGGGGCAGUUCUGACCCUUUUCCGUUAAAAAAAUUAAGUGCUAAUUGGAGUUUUGAUUUGCUCUAGAAACCACUGAAAGCUCAACCCAUAUAGACUAUAGUGAAGUAACAUAAAUGGAGCAACAGAACCCAAAAACCAACAAAUCCAAAAUAUCAGAUAGACUACGCCCGAUUCAUUUUAAGUGAUUUCUUAGCUUUUUUUGUCAUCUAUAAUGUAUUUAAUUUUUUCAAAUAUCAAGAAAAAAUUAUUUUUUUUUCGAAAGUAAAUCAGAAAAGUGGUCCCAGAGACCAUUUACCGAGCCUCCUACUUAGCUCAGAGCACAAUACAGUCAUUCACAAUCUGAUUCCACAAUUGUCAAACUCCAGUCCAUGAAUGAAAAGUGAAAUCAGGGAAAAGGAAUCACUUUUUUCACUAUAAAUAUAGUUCAUGAAUUUUAGCCAAACCCCUUCCAAAUAUAAAGAACCUUUGACCGUUUGACGCAGUCAAACAACCUUUCUAUAAGUUAAAAAAAAGUUUUUAACUUUUAUAUACUCUUGAUAAAAUAAGCAAGUACUAAUAACUACUUAUAAAUAGUGGGAUUGGUAAUCUAAAAUUAAGAUAAUGUAACUUGUUAUAACAUAUUAAAGUACACUGAAAAUGUAUAAAAAAAUUUCGAUAACAGUAUGUUAAAUCCAGAAAAGAACAAGAGAUCGAAAAAGGCAUUGAACAAGAGAUCUGGAUUUCACUGAUAAAACAGAGAAUAAUAACACGUAAAAAAUGGCAUCUAAAACAACUCCAUACACGAAAACUGGCAAAAUAUUAGAUACGAAUAUAUAGAGUAAGAAAAGGAAAAAGGACGAAUAAAUAGAACAAGAAGCUGACCUCUGUUUAUGUAAGAAGCACUUCAAUCUUCAAAAGGAUGGAAAUAGACAUCAUUCAAGAUCCCACAUUCAUACUUCAAGAAAACUUUUUUCUUGUUUUCAAGUGUGAAAUGGUAGAGAACAACAAAUCUGUGGUCUGCAGUCAAAAGAAAGAAACAGUAAUCAAGAGAAGAGUGGAUAUGACUAUUCAGGAGGAUGAAGUACAUGAGAUUGGUAUUAAAAGCAAAUGAGAAGUGACAGAGCAGAGAAGAAAGGGUAAUGCGUGUGAGUAAUGGGAUGAGUAUGUGAAUAUAGAGACAUUUAUGGUGAGAAAGAGAGAUACGUGGUGGGGUUAGCUAAGGCCUAAGAGGUCGAGACUAACGUAGUAGGUAAUCAUUGCUAUUUUUUUUCUUUCUAGAAUUAUAUACAGUUAAAGUGAAAUGGAGCUAGUAUGUUAUUAUGUUUCUUCAUUUUGUGC